UUGUUAAAUGAUGAUAUCCAUACCGCCCCAGUCUGAGAUCUAUGACUGAUUCGGAUAACUGACCAAUU